GAUCUCUUUUGAAAUAUACUGUUAGUACAAUCGAUGGUUGGCAUCACAAAUUGAAGAUUACGGCAGAUGAAAUACCCAUACGCCUUAAGUGUUAUAAAUUCCAACCACAAAGAGUUUCUGAAAGGAAUUGCUACUACUAACAUACUCUGCAAGAAAUCCUGACUUCAGGAUUAUUAUUGUUGCAGAUGUAAUUAAAAUGAGGUUAUAAUAAAUUAGAGUAAGCCCUUAACUCAAAACAAUUGGUGCCAUUAUAAGAGGAUGACCAUGUGAAGACACAGACACACAGAAAAAACACCAUGUGGUGACUGAAGCAGAGAUUGGUGUAAUGCAACUACAAGUCAACAAGCAACUAUGAUUGACGGCCACCACCAAGGCUAGGAAGAGGAGAGAAAAAUAUAUAUAUCUCAAGAAAGAAAAAAUCCAGCACCUACGGCAUAAUGUAAGGAGAGAAUGCUCCAGCAAAAUCUAACUUGCACAAUAAAUCUGUUCUGUCAGAUCCUUGACCGGUAUGUUUAUGUUGACCUCUUUCCGUUUGAAGAGAGAGGAAAGAAACUGGUGUUGAUCAAAGGUUACAGCAGAAUAAAAAAUAUACUGGGACACGAAAUUGUGACAUGUAUUUCCCCCACCAGUCAGGACUCUAUGUUCAAUAUUUUUAUUUCAUUAUGCUUACAAAAGCAAAUGAAUGUCCCUUUGUAUUUCCUUAAGAAUGAAAAGAUGAAUGUUUCUUUCUUUGCAAGUUCCAUGGAAGCUAAGAACCUUAAUACUAUAAACAUUUUAAUGCUUGAUAAUGGUUCUGUCUUCAAAAUGCAAAACGUUUUAUUCUGACAAAUAAAAACUCUAAAAAAAUGAA
ensembl:lncRNA novel transcript